UCCUUCCUGCGCGGGCUGUUGGAGGCGCUGCGCCGGCAUGGUGUGCGCGUUCCUGCUGGAGAUCCGGCGGGGGACGCAGAGCGCUUUGCUCGUUAUCCGCGAGGCGAGCUUGCGGAACCUGCCGGCCGACAUCUCGGUGGCUCCGGGCCGGCUGGAAGUGAGGAGCAGCUCCGCCUGCGGGGUGGCUGCGUUGCCGCCAGGGGUCAGCCUGGCUCCGUCCUCCUGUCGCGGGCUGCGGCGCCUGCACGGAGAUGGCCUGCACCUGCACCUGCGGCUGCGCGAUGUGCCCCGCGCCCCGGAAUCGGUUUAUAAUCUGAGGGAAAGCCUGAAACCACAGAAGAGUUACAUCUUUUACUGCCAGUCCUGUGGUGACAUCAUAGUAAAAGAAAGGAAAUUUUUCAGAGUUCUUCCUCUACCAAGUGAAAACUGGAGUGCUUUAGUAGAAGAGUGGUGUUGUCACCCUAAUCCCUUUGCAAGAAGCACUUUACACCCUCAGCAUGAUGACUGUUUUCUUGGAGAGACUUUUCUCCUGUUGAAUUCAAGAAAUGAAUCAUAUGUGCCUGAAUCUCUCAAGUGCAGCUCAGAGACUGAACAUCAUCACACUUCUCAGAAUGACUCUACCUUGAAAUCAAAGGAAAAUACCAGAGUAAUUUGUGAGCGCUGCAAGACAACACUGGGAGAAACAGUAUCAUCAGAUACUGUUAAAUACUAUGUGACUGAGGUGAUUGUUUGGCCAUCUGAGGAAAGCUUCAGUACAAUACCAAGGUCUCAAUUCAUACAGAGUAUGGUUGCUCAGUGUCUUGUGGAAUUGUCCUCUGCUAAAAGCACAUUUAGAUUCACCAUAAAAGGUGACAAUGGAAGGAUCUAUAUUCUGAUAUGGCUUUUAAAUUCUGACACAUUGCUGGUGGAGUCCUCAGGAAGUUCCUCCUCCCACAGUGUAUUUACACUGUUUGGCGAUAAUUUCAUGCCAAGCUGUGGAACAUCAGGGAUGUGGAGUGCUGUCAAAGUUCUCUACCAGCCAUGCAUUAAUAACAGGAAUAAAGACCUUGCUGAUGCCUGGGAAAAUGAUUUUGGAGUUCAUCCUUUAAAGUUUCCAUCAGAAACAUGUCUGGAAUUACUUCUGAUGCUGAGUUUGAGUACUGCUUCUUUACCCCCUUCAAUUCAGCGCAUGAACUCUUUUCAGUUUUUACCUUCUGAAAAGCAUGGACUCCUCACCAUUUAGAGCAAAUAGCAGAGAUCUUUGGAGAGAGCAAAUGCCAUUGCUUGGAGAUCUGGGAAGGCUGGCAUGAGAAUCUGAUGAAAAGACCAUCAUUAUCCCAGUUUUUGUGAUCAGAUUUACAGCAGUUUACAGCAAGGACCACUUGGAACUCUCAUAUGUCAUCCAGUGUAGUCCCUUGCUAUUGCAGGUUGCCUUUCUGAAGCUGUGAAGAUCUCAGUUACCUAUGUAGAAAACUCUUCUCAAAUUCCCUUCCAUCAGACAUAUACAGAAACCUUCCAAUGGUGUGACACCUGAAAGAAAAUCUCCUGGCAGUACAAAGCAGGAUGAGCUAUGGCACACAUUAUUCUUUCUAUCUGGAAGAGAUUCACAGCCAAAGACGGAGUUAGCUUUUACAUCCAGUACAUUCUUAGAUGUUGUUGUAAGAGUGACUGCUCACAUCAAGCUGGACUAAGUUGUAUGUAGUCAAUACUACCUUUGUCAGACAGUAUUGGGAGUCCUAAAAAGACAGGCAGCAAAGAAGGGAUCUAAAAUAUUUAAUGUUAUGGAUGCUGAAGUGUUCUGUUCUUUCUUUGCUCUAAUAAACUUAGAAGGCCGACUUUAAAAUACAUGUUUAACAAUAACUA